rnacentral:lncRNA from 1 species
GAACUAAUGGGGAGAGGCUUGGACAUGCUGUGAGGAAAAGAUACUGGGAAAAGCUGCAGACAUCUACCGUAGACACAGGACGAAAAGCAGGACGCCAUUUUUAAUCCAGGUCCUUCCUCAGGAAAGGACCUUUGGGCAGCAAGGAAGGAAGGAAGGAAGGAAGGAAAGAAGGAAGAAAGGAAGGAGAAAAAUAAAUUAUCCAAGAACUGAAACUCACCAGAUCACCACAUCCGUGAGAUCCCGGACCCCUCAUUCAUCCUUAUUGCUUCCUUGCCCCCUCCCUAGUUUCUACUUUCUUACACAUUGUUACAUUUCUUCCCUGCUAUUUAAACCCCUAGUUUUGGCCCAUCAGGGAGAUGGAUG